AAGUCGUAACAAGGUUUCCGUAGGUGAACCUGCGGAAGGAUCAUUAAAUAUCGGUAGUUUACUAUCGUUUGAGGGGAAUGGAAACUGUCUUACUAUAGUGAAGCAGGAGUACGUGCCUUUUCUUAACCCUUGACUUUUUGCGCACUUGUGUUUCCUCGGCAGGCUUGCCUGCCGAUUGGACAAAUCAAUAACCUUUUUAAUUUUCAAUCAGCGUCUGAAUUAUUUUAAUAAUUACAACUUUCAACAACGGAUCUCUUGGUUCUG
rnacentral:misc_RNA from 1 species